CCUUAAACCAUUUUUUGCCACCUGUCAACUUAAUAGUACACAGAUUUCUUCUUUGGGCGGCAACUAAAACCCUAAACCAAAAUACGCGUAGAUGGCUUCCUUCUCCUACAAUCUUCUUUCAUUAUCGCAAAAUAGCGAUGAUGGCUAUUGAAUAAACCCUAGAUGAUGGCUAUUGAACAAACCAAACAACCCAGGGAAGCAGGUUAUGUGCUUGAAGAUAUGCCUUACUUAACUGAUCCACUCAGGCAAGCUUUUUAUGUAAUGAAUUUAAUUUAUAAGGAAUUGAAAUUUGUGGCAGAUUAUUAGUUUAUAGUAUGUAGCAGUUGAAUUCUUUUUU